rnacentral:lncRNA from 1 species
CGGCGGUGGGGGGAGGAGAGAGGCGGCGGAGAGAAAGGUCGGGAGCAUUAGGGCACGGCGACGGCGGCGGCGGCGGCGGCGGCGGAGAAGGAGGGGGAGAGGGAGGGUGCUUUAAGAUUCGGGAUGGCCAUGACGCGGAGAAGAUGCGAUUGGAUUGGUGGUGAUCGGCGAAUAGGAAUUGUAAUAGGAGGAGGAGUUCAUGGACCGGGUUAAUGGCGGAAUAGUAGACGUGGAUAUUCCAACACGUGGAAUCUUGCAUUUUAGCACGAUUUAACCGGACCGGACCGGCCUAGCCCGGGCCGGUUCGGUCCGAAUCCGGAAGUUUAGGAAUGCAGAAAAAUUGCAUUACGUGCGGUGAGAAAGUGCAAUUGGAAGAUAUUCUAUUUAUUUCCAUACGUAUUAUUACGUUCUGUAUAUCGCAAUGAAUUCGUUACAAUACGUUUUCUACGAUUUCACCAAAAAACGCAGAAGCAUAUUUUUAUAUGUUUUUACUUCAACUCUAUUUUAUUUAUUAAUCGCAUCAGAUGGACGUCAAUACUAAACUAAGCCUAAGAUAGCAAUGCUUUCGCUUAUUCAUUUUUUUAAUCUGUGAAUUAAAUUGCUAAUGAAUCUGUUUCAUUCGUU